rnacentral:rRNA from 1 species
NNCGACCUCAGAUCGGGCGAGAAUACCCGCUGAAUUUAAGCAUAUUACUAAGCGGAGGAAAAGAAACUAACAAGGAUUCCCUCAGUAGCGGCGAGUGAAGCGGGAUCAGCCCAGCGCCGAAUCUCCGUGCCUGAACGGUACGCGGGAAAUGUGGCGUAAGAAAGCCCUACUCCGCGCGUGUGCUCGGACUCACGUCCUUCUGAUCGAGGCCUUCCCAUAGAGGGUGUCAGCCCCCAGGCCUGGGCGCGUGCGGACCACGGUUUUCAGGAGUCGGGUUGUUUUGGAAUGCAGCCCAAAGACGGGUGGUAAACUCCAUCCAAGGCUAAAUACUGGCACGAGUCCGAUAGCGAACAAGUACCGUGAGGGAAAGU